rnacentral:rRNA from 1 species
GUAGAUUUUAUGACCCUGCCCCANNAAAGUUCUAAAAAGGGGACCCNUAAUUUUUUNCCGGGGACCCGCUUGUUNUAGGGGGUUACCCCCNGNAACCGGNACCUAAUCCCGAANAUCUUCCCAGGACCAAGGGGGGGNACNUUCGGGCCNCAUGCNNUCAAAUGUGCCCAAAUGGAAUUACNUAGUAGGGGGGGAAACGGCUCACCUAGGCAACAAUCCCUAGNUGGUCUGAAAGGAUGACCACCCNCCCUGGAACUGAAACNCGGCCCAAACCCCUACGGGAGGCANCAGGGGGAAAUAUUGCACAAGGGGCCCAAGCCUGAUNCACCCUUGCCGGGGGUAUAAAAAAGGCCUUCGGUUUGAAAAGUACUUUCACCGGGGAAGAAAGGCAAUAAGGUAAAUACCCUUGUCAAUNGACUUUCCCCGCAAAAAAACCCCCGGUUAAUUCCGNGCCACCACCCGCGGAAAUACGGAGGGGGCAAGCUUUAAUCGAAUUUACGGGGCGUAAAGCCCACCCNGGCGGUCUGUCAAGUCGAAUGUGAAAUCCCCGGGCUCACCCUGGGAACUGCUUUCAAAACUGGCAGGCUUAGAGUUCUUGUAGAGGGGGAUAAAUUUCCGGGUGUAGCGGUUAAAAUGCGUAAAGAUUUGGAAGAAAUCCCGGGUGGCAAAGGCGGCCCCCCUGGAAAAAAGACUGACCCUUCAGGUGCAAAAAGCGGGGGGAGCAAACAGGANUNAA